GAGAUGACCAACGGCAGGGCUGGAGAGUGUGGGGACCCUGAGAACAUGGGGCUGGAGCUGAGCCCUUAACAGCAGAGGGAUGAGACUUCUUCGUGUCGUGUCUCUGAUGCCUGGCGUGGGGCCGCAGAAUAAAUGACCGUCUGCGUAAGCGAUUGGCCAACAAAACGUGUGCAAGAACGAGGAGAGGGAAGAGGAGGAAAAGAAGGGUCCAGGCGGGGGGCACUCCGAGGACCCCCAUUUGAGAAAUGGUUGAAGAAAGGCCGGAUCCGGUCCUCUUCCUGAGCUGAAACCCAGUACCCAGCUGUCCAAAGGAGGUCCCCUCUGCCGCCGCCACCCCCGCCCGGGCCCCUCGAACCGGAAGCUGCUCCCUCCAGUCUCUCGUCACCUCUUGCCCAGCCCAGCGGGUCUGCGGUCACCCCACACAGCCUGCUCUGCGGGAACCGAGCCGAGCCCACGAGCACCCAGCCGUGGUGGGAACACGGGCCUCAGCCCCUCUGCGGAAUAAACCCACAUCCCUCCCCAUCACCCUGCUCUUAAUGUUACCCAUCAUUAGGCUUCCAGUACUUAUAAAGGCAACGUACAGCAUUUCACACUUACACAGCGCUUUCCGAGUCCUCCACGCAGCACGGGGACUCGAGAAUGACUAUCCUGUGUGUUUGCGAAGUGCCAACCUCACUGCACCCAGAGGAGAGCAGGACUUGAGCCGUGCUGUCCAGCCACCAAGCCCAGCGCCGAGCGAAAGGGGCUGCUCCUAACUCUUGGGCUCCCAGUGUCAUGCUCCCACCAAAGACUGGGGGCAGCAAAGCGCCCAGAGGAGGAAAUGGAUUCUUCUUGCUUGUUUUGUGGUUCUUUGGGUGUUACCAUAACAGCAUGGAUUCUUCCUUGAACUCAGCAGAACAUAUGGGAAACCUAUACUUAGCCUGUCAUUUCAAGCCCUUCCUCCCGCACACACAGCUCCCCCCCCCCCCCGCCAGGAGUCCUCAAUAUGGUACCAGUUCUGUAGAUUAAAAAAAAAAAUGUUCCAUUGGGCAAAGUGACCUUUCAUCUUGACCCAUGGGACAGCAGCGAUGGGUCCUGAACUUGAGUAGAGCUGCUGUUGACCUCUGAAAUGCCAAGCAGACGUCGUUCCUG